UUUAACAAGUGACAUCAAUAAGGAAUCAUAGCUUUCACCUGAAUUCACCUGCAGACGGUGGGAAUUGCAUGUUCUUCAAAAGCUCUUUUAUUCCAAGGACCUGGAGAAGAAGCACUGUAGCAGCUUCGGAGACUGAGGUAAACAUCUGAAAUCUGCCGCUCGCUGCAGAGUGCAGGGGGGGUCCCGUGCUGGAUCUAAAAGGCUGGGAUGGUUCAUUCCUUGGCUGCCGGACAAUGCCAGAGAAGAAUGCCAGUAUUCCCCCUGUACCUAAGGCCUAGAUGGGCAGCGCUUUGUGAAGCUUGGCAUGUUUGUCUCCUGCAUCCUGAAAUAAAGAACCUGAGCCCUAGGACCAUACGUCAGGACUACCGGGCAUGACGACUCC